rnacentral:rRNA from 1 species
AGCGAACGCUGGCGGCAGGCCUAACACAUGCAAGUCGAACGAAACUAUCGGGAGUAGUUGCGGACGGGGGUGUCACACGGCGGAAGGGUCAGUUAGGUAUGGGAUACCUCAGGGACGCUGGUGAUAACGCCGAAUGUGCCCUUCUAGGGAAGGAUUUAUCGUACUUGGGGGGGCCAGGGUUUUUUUAGCCUAUUGGGUGUGGUAACGGAUUACCAAGGCGACGAUGCGUAGCUGGGCUGAGCGGGUGAACGGCCACAUUGGAACUGAGACAGAGUCCAGACUCCUACGGGAGGACGCAGUCGGGAAUAUUGCGCAAUGGGCGAAAGCGUGAUCGAGCGAAACCGCGUGAGUGAUGAAGGACUUAGGCUCGUAAAACCAUGUUGUUCUGAAAGAAGAAAAGUUCUUUCACCGGCGACUGUACUGACGGUACCCAAAGAAUAAGCCCCGGCUAACUUCGUG